rnacentral:rRNA from 1 species
UACGGAGGGUGCAAGCGUUAUCCGGAUUCACUGGGUUUAAAGGGUGCGUAGGCGGGUAGGUAAGUCAGUGGUGAAAUCCCCGAGCUCAACUUGGGAACUGCCGUUGAUACUAUCUAUCUUGAAUGUUGUGGAGGUGAGCGGAAUAUGUCAUGUAGCGGUGAAAUGCUUAGAUAUGACAUAGAACACCAAUUGCGAAGGCAGCUCGCUACACAAUUAUUGACGCUGAGGCAACGAAAGCGUGGGGAUCAAACAGGAUU